GACAGUGAUGUAAUAAUCCUAUUCCAUUGCUGAAUAUUCAGUGUGGAAAACUCUUAACUGAUGUC
ensembl:snoRNA